rnacentral:rRNA from 1 species
AACGAACGCUGGCGGCAGGCUUAACACAUGCAAGUCGAGCGCCCCGCAAGGGGAGCGGCAGACGGGUGAGUAACGCGUGGGAAUCUACCCAUCUCUACGGAAUAACGCAUGGAAACGUGUGCUAAUACCGUAUACGUCCUUCGGGAGAAAGAUUUAUCGGAGAUGGAUGAGCCCGCGUUGGAUUAGCUAGUUGGUGGGGUAAAGGCCUACCAAGGCGACGAUCCAUAGCUGGUCUGAGAGGAUGAUCAGCCACACUGGGACUGAGACACGGCCCAGACUCCUACGGGAGGCAGCAGUGGGGAAGAUUGGACAAUGGGCGCAAGCCUGAUCCAGCCAUGCCGCGUGAGUGAUGAAGGCCUUAGGGUUGUAAAGCUCUUUCGUCCGGGACGAUAAUGACGGUACCGGAAGAAGAAGCCCCGGCUAACUUCGUGCCAGCCGCCGCCGUAAUAC